rnacentral:rRNA from 1 species
UAGAUACCCUGGUAGUCCGCACAGUAAACGAUGGAUGCCCGCUAUUGGACUUUUAGUUCAGUGGCUAAGCGAAAGCGUUAAGCAUCCCACCUGGGGAGUACGCCGGCAACGGUGAAACUCAAAGGAAUUGACGGGGGCCCGCACAAGCGGAGGAACAUGUGGUUUAAUUCGAUGAUACGCGAGGAACCUUACCCGGCUUGAACUGCCGGUGAACGAUACAGAGAUGUUGAGGCCCUUCGGGGCGCCGGUG